GGAUGAACGCUGGCGGCGUGCCUAACACAUGCAAGUCGAGCGGAGAAUUGUUGCUUGCACCCAUUCUUAGCGGCGGACGGGUGAGUAACACGUGGGUAACCUGCCCUAAACAAAGGGAUAACAAUGAGAAAUCAUUGCUAAUACCGUAUAAGCUUACACUAUCGCAUGAUAGAGUAAGAAAAGAUUUAUCGGUUUAGGAGGGGCCCGCGUCUGAUUAGCUAGGUGGAGAGGUAACGGCUCACCAAGGCGACGAUCAGUAGCCGACCUGAGAGGGUGAUCGGCCACAUUGGGACUGAGACACGGCCAAAACUCCUACGGGAGGCAGCAGUGGGGAAUAUUGCACAAUGGAGGAAACUCUGAUGCAGCAACGCCGCGUGAAGGAAGAAGGUUUUCGGAUCGUAAACUUCUAUCUACAGGGAAGAAAAAAAUGACGGUACCUGAGUAAGAAGCCCCGGCUAACUACGUG
rnacentral:rRNA from 1 species